rnacentral:rRNA from 1 species
AGUGAACGCUGGCGGUAGGCCUAACACAUGCAAGUCGAACGGCAGCACAGUAAGAGCUUGCUCUUACGGGUGGCGAGUGGCGGACGGGUGAGGAAUACAUCGGAAUCUACUUUUUCGUGGGGGAUAACGUAGGGAAACUUACGCUAAUACCGCAUACGACCUACGGGUGAAAGCAGGGGAUCUUCGGACCUUGCGCGAUUGAAUGAGCCGAUGUCGGAUUAGCUAGUUGGCUGGGUAAAGGCCCACCAAGGCGACGAUCCGUAGCUGGUCUGAGAGGAUGAUCAGCCACACUGGAACUGAGACACGGUACAGACUCCUACGGGAGGCAGCAGUGGGGAAUAUUGGACAAUGGGCGCAAGCCUGAUCCAGCAAUACCGCGUGGGUGAAGAAGGCCUUCGGGUUGUAAAGCCCUUUUGUUGGGAAAGAAAAGCAGCAGGUUAAUACCCCGCUGUUCUGACGGUACCCAAAGAAUAAGCACCGGCUAACUUCGUG